rnacentral:lncRNA from 1 species
UCAGACUCAACUCAACGAGUUUGGACGUUAGCAUCCAUAAGUGAACUCGGACUCAACUCAACGAGUUCGGAUGUUCGCAUCCAUAUGUGAACUCAGACUCAACUCAACGAGUCCGGAUGUUUGCAUCCAUAAGUGAACUCGGGCUCAAAUCAACGAGUUCGGAUGUCCAAAUAUCCAAAUCUAUUCCUAAGGUUCAACGGGACUUUCCUCAUUCGUACUCCUUUACCAUUCUCCUUGGAAUACCAAUGACGAUACUUCGAUAGUCU